rnacentral:misc_RNA from 1 species
AACUUUCAACAAUGGAUCUCUUGGCUCUCGCAUCGAUGAAGAACGCAGCGAAAUGCGAGAAGUAAGGUNAAUUGCAGAAUGCAGUGAAUCAUCGAAUCUUUGAACGCACCUUGCACCCUUUGGCAUUCCGAAGGGUAUGCUCGGUUGAGUGUCAUUGUACUCUCACACUCCCGAUGCUUUUGGAUUGGGAGUGGUGGACUUGGGUGUUGCUGCUUUACUGUGGCUCACCUCAAAUGGAGUAGUGCAACUCUUGGUUGGACAUAGUACGGCGUGAUAAGUGUCUUCGCCGGCGCCUCAUUAGAGGGUGGCCGAUCGGGAGCUCUGUGCUUCAACCCGUCUUCGGACAACAUCUGACAACUUGACCUCAAAUCGAGUAGGACUACCCGCUGAACUUAAGCAUAUCAAUAAGCGGAGGCU